rnacentral:lncRNA from 1 species
CACCUCUUAAAUUUUAAUAUUCAAUUUCAUAUAGUAUUUAUAGGAAACAGGCCUCUAAUUUUAAUAAUUCUUGCUUCAUGGUCACCUUUAAAAAAGUCAAUUAAAUUCAAAUUACCAUGAUUAUAGUAAUCUGUUAUACUAUAUAAAUUUAACAAUUAUAUGCCACUGUUCUGCCUUCAACAAUGAGCCAAGCCCAUACCCCAUAGUCAAACAUAAAUGUUCUGAAAUGACAAUUGUAAAAUAAUUCAAACCAGAAAACUUAAUUCUAAUCAUUUUUGCUAAUCCAUUUAGAAACAAAGCAAUGAAAAAAACAAAUAUCUUACACAGCAACAAACAACAACCACUGAAUAACAGGCACAUACAUACAGAAUGUGGCACUGUUAAACUUGUACUAAAGUGGGGUCCCAACCCUUCCCUGACAUUGGACAGAGGUGUAUCAGUACAAUAUAAGAACAAACUUUUAAAUCAUGAAAAAAAGGCUGAAUUCGUUAGAUGAAUACAUAUAGAAUAACCAUACAUAGUCUCGAAGUAUCAAUGUUAUUUGUACAAGGCUUAGAAACAGGUAGAAAGCGAGGCUGUGCCGAGCAUUUCUACCUGUUUCGAGCCAAGUACAAAUAACCAAUUGAUAUUUCGAGACAAUGUAUGGUUAUUCUUUAUAUACUGCAUUUCUUAUAAGUGUUCUAAAUGAAGUAUUUAGGGUAAAAAAAAAAAAAAACAUUUUUUAAUUUGAAGCGCGGACGACGUAAAAUUUCCGCGAACCUGUAUGUUUUAUUGACGUCAUAAAUAAAACUCUACGGAAACGCAUUGUCAACGUCAUAAACAAGGUGAUAUACGGUCAGUGACUGUAUAUCACAUAUGAAUAUACAGUCAAUGCAAUUUGACUGCUCAAAUAGGACAGCUGCAGUAUAUAAAUAAAAAUACAUGUCACAACUAGAUUUGUCAAAACAUUACGAAUGGCCCUGUCUCAAAAAAUUGAAAAAUCUGCAAUUUCAAUAACACAUGUGGACACAAACAUUAUAUUGUCUCACAUAUCAAAAAUCAGCUCAAAAUCUGAAGGGGUAUAGAAAAAAAGUCUGCAUAAGUGUGAUUUUCAACAAUUUUCAAAGUCAUUAACUCUUAACUUUGGCAAAAAUCAGGGGAGUCAAACUAAACUUGAUGUGCAACUCGUCAUGGUAAACUCACAUACCAAAAAUCAGCACAAUAUCUGAAAGUGUUUAGAAAAAUUCUGCAUAACUGUGAUUUUCUAAAAUUUAUCAAAGUCCAAGGCUGUAAUUUUGAACAGAUAUCAAAUAUCCUUCAAUAAUAUCAGAUUAUUACAUGGCAUUUUUCAUAUCGCAUGUAUUAUCAGCCCUAGGUUCAAUAUCAGCCCAAGAGCCGCAUGGCUCGAGGGCUGAUAUUGACCGAGGGCUGAUAAUACAUGCGAUAUGAAAAAUGACAUGUUAUGUUCUUUUUAUCAUAUGCUUCAACAGUAGAGAAAAAUAACAGAUUCAUAUAUUGAUCCUUCUACGUGGUUCCCGAAAAGAAGUUGAAAGAAUAAAAAGUUCAACGGACGUCGGACCCAAAAUUUGAUACAUUCAAUAUGAAAUCUUUCCAUCAUAUGCCUCAACAGAGAAAAAAAACCCAGAUUUUAAUAUAGACGAAUCGACA